GAUGAACGCUGGCGGCGUGCCUAAUACAUGCAAGUCGAGCGAACAGAUAAGGAGCUUGCUCCUUUGACGUUAGCGGCGGACGGGUGAGUAACACGUGGGUAACCUACCUAUAAGACUGGGAUAACUUCGGGAAACCGGAGCUAAUACCGGAUAACAUUUGGAACCGCAUGGUUCUAAAGUGAAAGAUGGUUUUGCUAUCACUUAUAGAUGGACCCGCGCCGUAUUAGCUAGUUGGUAAGGUAACGGCUUACCAAGGCGACGAUACGUAGCCGACCUGAGAGGGUGAUCGGCCACACUGGAACUGAGACACGGUCCAGACUCCUACGGGAGGCAGCAGUAGGGAAUCUUCCGCAAUGGGCGAAAGCCUGACGGAGCAACGCCGCGUGAGUGAUGAAAGGUUUCGGCUCGUAAAACUCUGUUAUUAGGGAAGAACAAAUGUGUAAGUAACUGUGCACGUCUUGACGGUACCUAAUCAGAAAGCCACGGCUAACUACGUG
rnacentral:rRNA from 1 species